rnacentral:misc_RNA from 1 species
AAUAUGAUAAUGCAAUUGAAUAAUAUCAUUCCAGUACUUUACAAACCAGACAAACCAGGCAAGUCCUAUGGCAAGGUAAGCUAAAGACAUAAGCCCAUAGAAUGUCAUCAUUGGUGCCAUCUUUCCAGGAAGAUAACCAUCUGGAUUCCUCCAGACUGUCCUGCCACUGACUAUCAUCCCUGUAAGUUCCGGAUCACAAAACAUAAAAUACAGA